CGGACGGGUGAGUAACACGUGGAUAACCUACCUAUAAGACUGGGAUAACUUCGGGAAACCGGAGCUAAUACCGGAUAAUAUAUUGAACCGCAUGGUUCAAUAGUGAAAGACGGUUUUGCUGUCACUUAUAGAUGGAUCCGCGCCGCAUUAGCUAGUUGGUAAGGUAACGGCUUACAAAGGCAACGAUGCGUAGCCGACCUGAGAGGGUGAUCGGCCACACUGGAACUGAGACACGGUCCAGACUCCUACGGGAGGCAGCAGUC
rnacentral:rRNA from 1 species